rnacentral:lncRNA from 1 species
GAAGUGCUUUUACAACCUUGAUGGCAUCCUGUUGACUGGUACUUCAUCAUUUAUUGCUGAACUCUGAAGAGAAAGAAUGAUACACUGAAGCAAAAAAAUGGAGUUUGCAGCAUACUGUUUUAAAUUGAUUGAAUACGUCAUGGGGUUACUGAACUGCAGUUUUACAAAUAUAGAUCAAACCAGGACACAUCGCUUUAAAUCUAUUGACCACAAUCUUCACGUGAGCUCAAAGAGAAAGUAGGUCAUCAAUGGGCAAGCAUCCUCGGUUCGUGUCCCCGUGUAGUAUAUCAACAGUUCAGUGAGUGCUUUUUAUGGCACUGUACACAGCUGGACCACAGAUCAGUGUUGUUUUUCUUUCACAUAAUUAACCAUUUCAUUUCGCUGAUAGAAUCUAAUUUCCCUCUUGAUGUUGUUAAAAACAACACAAUAAUCCCUGCAAAUGAAAGGUCAAUUGCAAAGCCCUAAUGUCCUUGUUGUUUUGAAAACAAAUAUAUAAGCAUGCCACUCUGCCUUUGUUGAUGGUCUAGUUGGCUUGUCGGCAGCAAAGAGUGUUCACCAGAUUGAUCAUUUUCAGGUUGCUGCUGCCCUCUGGUGGAGACAUCUAUGCAAGAAGGAAUAGUGAGACGUCAUUGAACAAAGAAGGAUAGCAGUAGUAGUACAUAACGCCUGUAUUUUUCAGGAACUUUUGUGGUUACAAUACAAACCCUCUGAAGUGAUUCAAAACCACUCACCUUUUUCUCUCCACUGUCUUCUGCCUGCAUGGACAGACAUCAAUGUGCCUAUCUGUCACAGCAAGACCUACAAAAAAAACCUCAUGCAACCAAACCUAACAGGAAGUCUCCAGUUUUGAGUGGGGUGUCAUCAACUCCUCAUGCAUGCAGUGCAUUAUAAACACACCGCAGAUCAAAAGCAAACAAUGGUCAUUUUUUUGUCUGAUGGUGUAGCUCUGGCAAGCUCACAAAUUUACUUUUUUUUGCCAUGACACAUUCUUUUUCUCAACCAUGCAUACUCUAAUCUCAACCUAAGUCAGAGGCGCCCCCUUGUGGAAGCAGGAAAUGCUAUGCUUUCACUGCAAAAGCUUAAGGCUUCAAGACCACUGAACAGAUCUGCAUCAUUUUAGGUCAGGAUAUCUUGAUAUCUUGAUGUGUGCCCAAACCACAAGUUUUGUCAAGGGUGUGUAAGGGUGGAUGAGAGUUUUUUCAGAGGGUGUGUCAGGGUGGUGUGCUGAAUUUUGAUUGUGCCAGGUUGUCUUACCAUGAAACUUCAAACUGUUCUAGCUCUGCCCAACAGUAACAUAAUGACACGUUGCUUGUGCUUAUGAUACGUAGGCCAAGAGCCUAAGCUCUUUUGUUAUUUUAGUAAAACUAAAGGAGAACAAAAACUCAAAUGUCUGGACACAAAAGCAGUAUGAGGAACAAUGAUGAAAAAGCUUAAAGGGAUAUUCCGGCCUAAAAUUAAGUCAAACACACCCUAACACCAAGUUAGACACCCCUUCCAGAGAUGAAUGUUGCCGACCACUUGCUUCUCUAGUUAUACCAACUUUAGUAACUACCACAGGAUAGCAAUACAGAGAGCCACACGCUCAACCAAAACGCCACUUUACAGCCACAAAUAAUGCUCAGAACAGCACCUAACUUCAUCUACAGUACAUAUAGGGUCCUAGCCAUAGUACUAGCCACCAAACAUCUUUUUUGCUUUCCCUUAUUUCUUUAGCAAAGUGACUAAACACAACUCAACUACUCUCUUCUAGCAGCCGCUUGUUUGUAGCAAGACCUUGGGCCAGUCCAUUACAGACUACACCAGGGUGACGCAGCUCAAGGAAGAACAUUUAUGAUCAUUACUU